rnacentral:rRNA from 1 species
CUACUCUUGACAUCCAGAGAACUUAGCAGAGAUGCUUUGGUGCCUUCGGGAACUCUGAGACAGGUGCUGCAUGGCUGUCGUCAGCUCGUGUUGUGAAAUGUUUGGUUAAGUCCCGCAACGAGCGCAACCCUUAUCCUUUGUUGCCAGCGAUUCGGUCGGGAACUCAAAGGAGACUGCCGGUGAUAAACCGGAGGAAGGUGGGGAUGACGUCAAGUCAUCAUGGCCCUUACGAGUAGGGCUACACACGUGCUACAAUGGCGCAUACAAAGAGAAGCGACCUCGCGAGAGCAAGCGGACCUCAUAAAGUGCGUCGUAGUCCGGAUUGGAGUCUGCAACUCGACUCCAUGAAGUCGGAAUCGCUAGUAAUCGUGAAUCAGAAUGUCACGGUGAAUACGUUCCC